GAUGAACGCUGGCGGCGUGCCUAAUACAUGCAAGUCGAGCGAACGGACGAGAAGCUUGCUUCUCUGAUGUUAGCGGCGGACGGGUGAGUCACACGUGGAUAACCUACCUAUAAGACUGGGAUAACUUCGGGAAACCGGAGCUAAUACCGGAUGAUAUUUUGAACCGCAUGGUUCAAAAGUGAAAGACGGUCUUGCUGUCACUUAUAGAUGGAUCCGCGCUGCAUUAGCUAGUUGGUAAGGUAACGGCUUACCAAGGCAACGAUGCAUAGCCGACCUGAGAGGGUGAUCGGCCACACUGGAACUGAGACACGGUCCAGACUCCUACGGGAGGCAGCAGUAGGGAAUCUUCCGCAAUGGGCGAAAGCCUGACGGAGCAACGCCGCGUGAGUGAUGAAGGUCUUCGGAUCGUAAAACUCUGUUAUUAGGGAAGAACAUAUGUGUAAGUAACUGUGCACAGCUUGACGGUACCUAAUCAGAAAGCCACGGCUAACUACGUG
rnacentral:rRNA from 1 species